GCCCCCUCACCCCACGGUACUGCCGAGGCUGCGUCCAGCGCCUGGAAUCGCUCCUUCACGUUCCAAAAACGAGCCGUUAUUACUCUUUACGAGCCUUUAAUAUAUUUUUCGGUUGAUGUACAGCUUGAAGCCCAAUAAGUUCUCUUGGAAGAGGUCGUUUCUGAGGAGCAGGCAGAGGCAGGGCUUCGCGCAUCGCUGGGCAGUCGGCUCCCUCCAGCCGUGCAGGCGGAUUUCUCCCGGCUUGUGCUCCGGCAGCUAUGCGCCAGGCAGGCUCAGCUCCGAGGCAGAGCCGCGGCCAAGUGGAGGGGAGCUGCGCCUUCCUCUGGGGUCAGGGAGCAGGGGAUGCCAGCUCAGCUCCAGGAUCUUGGACAGCAGUAUGUCUCAGCUAUGGCACUGCCACCCCUGGCAGGAGCAUCUUGCCCACCCUGCUACUCUGCCCCUUUUGGGGAGGGGAAGCUGGAUGGAGGUCUGCAACAGGUGGGGAUCAGGAAAGCAGAGACUCCAAUACAAUUUUUGCAACAUGAAUAUGAGUAAGAGAGGAUGAGGGAACCAACUGGAACUUUUCUCAGGUCAUGUGAAAGAUUGGUGUCCGGGACAUGAAUCAAGCACUGAAUGGAUCCAUUGCAAAGAAGGCCCAGACAUUGGAGGCUUUAUUCUUUCUUACUCAAGAAAAGUAUCCUGUCAAAUCAAAGACUGAUUCCCCAGUUGCUGCUCUCCUUUUCUUGAAGAGUCAGUAGCAAGACCAUAGGUCUCCUUCACAUAAGAAAAGAAAGAAAGGGGAAAAUAACCUUACAUAAGAAAAUGAAGGAUGUAGAGAAGGAGAAGAUUCUGUUAGUUUCAGUAUUUUCUUCUGGGAGAAAAGAGGAGGUUUUGAGAUCCCCUUGCUGUGGAAAAAUAGAAAAUUCUGAUUCCUCUCUCUGACAGGGUAAGGACAGAAAAGUCACCUGUAUGGUCCGCAGCAUCCCUAGAGAAGUGACGUUCUUUUUGGCAGCUGUAAGUAGUUAUUCAUUUGCAUCUGCCAGGAGACUCACAAAUAUGGAAAGUAGAUCCAACUUGAAUCAUUCUUCCCUUUCUCCCUGAUGUGCUGGUCCAGCGUGGUUUGGUGGAACUGUUGGCAAAUUCCAAUCACAGAUGCUUUUCUGAGGAGACACACGAAGUCGUUGCUUGGGCCGACAGACGCCUAUUCUUCCUUUGUCAUCUGCCUGCGCAGGCUGGGCUGGGAAGGCUUUACCCUGGUCUUGACAUUGUUUGUACACUCCCCAAAUUGCUUGUCAGUAUGACAGGAAACCUUCCGAAGCUCUGCUUGCUGCCAUAGACGUAGGAACACUGCGAGAGAUGAUUAUAUGGUCUGUAAGAUCCUUGCCACUUUCUAAUUUAAGAACUGACCAUUCCUACUGAAAUGGGCUCGAUUUCUUUCACAGAUACUUGUUCCAGCAACUUGGAAUAAGUGACCCAAAGCUGGUUUCAUGCUUGGGUCUCAUUUUGUUGUCAAGCAAGAACAUUUCUUGUCCUGCAGAAAAAUAAGAUACAAAUCUUAUUAAUACCUCAGCUUCUCCUGCAAGAUACAAAUUUUAAAUACAGCACCUUCUUCUGCAGCUUUUAUGCUGACAAAGGUGUUAUUAUAAUUGAGAGAAUUUAUUUGUCUGUAUAAGAACUGAAAGCUUCUAGUAGUCAUUUAAACUGUUUGGUGCCCUACAUACAUUUGGUGUGGGUCUACAUAAAGCUGGGCUCAGGGAACAUAGCAAACAUCCUGCAGUCUCCAGAGACACCUACAAAUCCGUGAUUCUGCAUUUGCCCUUGUCUGCCUUUAUAUGCUUCUGUUUCUGUUGUUAGGGCACAUCUUUAUUCAAAGUUAUGUACAUUGAGAUGUAGUAAAGGAUAACAUUUAUAACACCUGCUAAUGAAAAUGAAAGGAGAAACAAAAGAAAAAACCAAUAGUGCAAAACAAUCAUUGAUUGCCAAAAAUAGUUUGUGUUCCUUCAAAAUUAGAUGCAGACUGUUUUAUCAGAUCAAUAUUGACUCAGUGAUUCUAGUACAGUCUUGGUAGUUUUGGUUAACAAAUAUGAAAAAUUGUGCUAUGCCCUGUGCUUAAACAAUGAAAUCAAAAACUUACUGGAUUAGUAACCCUUGACUAUGAUCAGAAAUCCCUGUAAAAUGGGGAUUGCCAAUGUCCAGGGUUCAGAAUCAGCUAUUACAUAUCACAUACCUGGCCUGAUUAGCUAUGAAGCUAGCUUACUAUUUUAGUCACAGCUAGAAGCACAAAGCUCAACAGCAAACUGAGCUCAACAGUAAAUAUAGCUGAAGGAGCCCAUGUCCCCAGUUUACUGAGCAAACUACAUCACCUUUGUAUUGUCUAAAUGGCUAUGGACCCAGUUCUCGAUGUUAAUGGGGAGGCAUCUUUUGACUUCAUCUGGAGUUUGAGCUGCUUGUUAAAGGAAGAGCAUGAAGCAUUUAACCCAGGUGUUGCAUACCAUUAUCUGCAUAUCUUACCCAGGCUAAUUGAUUUAAUUGCCAACAUAAUGUGUCCUUGCUGCAACUUAACUCUAUAAUAUAUGCUAAUUCAAUGUUACUGUGGUGCAGUUGUCUUUCAAGUCCUGUAUUUUAUUUCAAAAUAUGUGGUGGGAGUAGAGAAAUCAGAAGAUGUUAUACAACAGAGUGACACCCUAUAAUAGGAAACGGCAUUUCAGUUAAAUAUUCAGAGGGGGUACACUAAUCUAGGUAUUUUCUAUAUCAGUACAUCAUAUUAUCCUAUUGACAGAAGCAGGCAGCUCAUUUUUUCUUAAUUUGCCAUCAUCUCUUGGUCUUCCAGCACUAUCAGCUCAGCUUGCUGCCAGUCAGCAUCGUUCUUGCUUUCGUAUGACUUUACUGUGCACUAAGAAGCCCUCACUCUGACAGGACACUUUUUCAUCUGUGGGGAUCAAUGCCCUGCAGAAAAAGCAAACCUUAGGAAGUUACCCCAAGUCUGAAGAAACACUUUGAACUGGAACCCUGGCAUCCCAAAUCAUAACCAGCACAAUUUACCCUGGAGACCAGUAUCUCCUAGAAUGGAAGAGUCCUGUGUAUGCACGCACAUGAACCCACGCAUAGGGCAACCUUGCACCUUGCUGAAGAGAGAUCUGCAGUGGGGAUGUGCAUCAUGGAUGGAUUUCUUGCUUAGGAGAAUACUUUUAAUUUUUGCUGCAGCAGCUAUAUAUAAUCUGACAAUUACUCUCUCCAAUCUCUGGGAUUAACUUUAUCUGUGAUUGUAUUUAGAAGUCCCUAGAUGAUUAUGUAAUAGGUACAAGAUACCUGAUAAUUUAGCAGGCCUUUUAUAAAUUUUUAAAGCUGUAUUAGUGUCAUUUCUCAGAUAUCGUCUCCUCUUUUUCAACUUCUGUCCAUUGUGAAUCAAGCAUACUCAGCAAAGAAAGAACAGAACCCUCUGCAGCCUGUGAACGGUAAGAAAUUUCAGCCGGAUGACUGCGUAAGGGCUUUGCAAGAUCGCCAGUAAUUUUUUAUAUUCAGAGUUAAAUAGAGCAAUAAGAUGGAAUUUAAGCUUUAGUGCAAUGGAUUGAGGCUCUUCAGUCAAUCAAAUUAUAGUUCAAUCAGUUCAUUUUAAUCACUUCUCUGGAGAGAAGUAAACCCCUAUGUUGAAGAAUAUGCAGCAAUUUUAUUGAUGGAAAGUUUAAUUGUUUCAUUUUUCCUUACCGUCUGUAACACACUAGACUUUUAAUCAGUGGGAACUGAAGUUAUAAUGAAGUAAAGUCCACUUUCCACAGUUCACAACUAGCUGAAAAUAAUUGGGUUGAGACUCCCAUCCAGACAGUGUAAUGCCUCUGGCAUUUUCCUGAAAACUACACUUAAUUGCUUUGCUGAUGUUGUUAAGUGGUCCUGAGGGGGAUGAAGUAGUAAAGCUGCCCACAUAUGCAGAGAAACAAUACACAAAAAUGUCUUACAAGGUCCUUAAAGGAGGACCAACUAGUGACUAGAAGAAAAUAUAUGGCAUGUUUUUUUUUCUUCUGUAUACCAGAGAGAACACACAGGCUGAUAAAAUAAACUGUGGAAAUUCUAUAAACACUAACAGUAUUUUUAUUUAAAGACAGAAAGCUCAAGACUGGAAGUACAGAAAACUUCAAGGCAAAAGCUUUUGCAAUCAAACCUGCAGUUUAGGGCUAGACCAACUCACUUGGCAUUUUGAUGCCAAACUUCAGUUAACAUCGCACCUAUGGGGAUCUUCAGCAGCUUUGGCUGAGCAGCAAAGGGUCUUUUGUCCGUAGGGAGCAGGAUGUCAUUGCUACGGAGUGGCAGAAUGUGAGCCAAAAGCCUUGUCCAGGUGUCAGUGGGGGCAGCAAGUGUCUUGGAUUAGGCUCUAAACAUGGCCAGAGAGGAAUAACACUUUGGAUUUUCAUCUUAUUCAAGCACAUUUGUGAGAAGCCCUCCCUCAGCUGAAUGGGGAUUGAGGUGUAAAAUGGUGACUGAACUGUUAGAUUGUAGGAUGUUCUGAUGGAGAAAUAGAUUAUUUAUUAGAGAAAAAUAUUUAUUUAGGACACACGAAUUAGGUCGUGCCAGGGAUCUUGAAUGAAGUGUUCAAGGCUGGGGCUCUCUUGGAGAAGGGAAGACAAUAGAGCGGAUUUAGCUUUAAACAUUUUUUCUACUUGCUUAUUUACAUACACAGGUGCAGCAAAGUCUCUCUCUACAACAUUUCCUUCCUCAGCUGGUGUCUGUGUAAACUUCGGUAUGGCCUUUGCUUCUUUUAUUUUCACUUUCACAGGCUCUGAUUUGAACAACUGCCUCCUGAGGUCUGUCUAGAAGGGAAUGUAGACAGAAUUUAGGCACUGAGUUCUAAGGCUUAAAUGUUAAAUGACCCAUCUCUCAGCCCUUAUCUGACUCUGGUCGACCCUCAACAGCCCCUGACUUGGUUCCUUGGAUUUUGGCCAGAAAAGCUCCCCAGGCACCUGAAGUUCUUCUUUUCCCUGCUGAAACAUGCUUUAGUCUUGACAAGGCUGAGUACCUUGGCAUCUAACCUCUGCUUCAGCCUGACUGGCGUCCCCAGUCAAUGGGCUUUAACACCUGUUUCUCCCACGGUCUGGAACUAGCUAGCACAUGCCAAGGAGAUCAAGCAGUCCACAGCCCCUCACAACGCGGCUGCUAGAAGAGGAAUUGUUCUGCAUCCUCACUUGCUUUUCCUGUGAUGGAUUGGCAGCACUCUGUGGGAAGUGUAAAUUCAGUCCUUCCUUUGCAUGAGGUGGUUGAACCUGUGUCAGAGAGUGCUCUAGCUGCUGGAACAGAGUCUACAGCAGUGACCUACCUUCCAUCUCUUAGAGCCGUUAAACUGUGGGCUAAGUAUAUUGAAAUUCACUAGUGCAAGAAGCAAGAUAGAAAAUGAGUCUGUAUCCUGACAUUUGAUGUGUGCUUUCAGACUUGCUGCUGCAGAGGAAACCGAUGCAUCUGGUGGCUUCUGUAUGCCCUGAAAAUGAGGCGGCUGCAGGACAACUAUGAAGUGGUACACUGAGUAAGACUCCCUGUGUUCUUGCUUACGACACUAAGAACCAGACACUCUGCAGCUGUUGGUUAGAUGCCUUUCAAACUUGUCUUCUGCCUAAGGGCUAUCAGAUGUGCAGCUGAGGUGAAGCGAGAGAUUUUUCCGACGUGAAGCUCUGUAACUUGGUGACAUGCUGCUCACUGUGAAAACUACUAAGAUAGGAAAACGCAAGCCAGAGGAUAUACAGAGUUUUAGGGAAGAAGCAGUCCUUCACUGAUGUGCAAUGGCCCUUCUUAACUCUGUGAGAGGUAAAGCGUGGGAAAGUGUUUCUUGGAGCAGUACUUCAUCUAUUGGAAGAAAUCUUUCAAAUGGAAAUGGAAAUUAAGAGCUGCCAGGGGAUUGAUGGGUCUACUCCUGGCCAAUGCUCUCUGAUCCAGAUCCUGCAACCUCUUUACCAUAUAGGACUGGUCCUAUUGCAACCAGAAGGCUAGUGCUGGAUGCUCAGUACUGAUUCUUUCCUAUGUGUGCCUAAAAUCAAGAGGAUGCAGAAAUGUCUGUUCUGUGUAGUGCUAGCCAGGCUUGCAAUGCUGACACAACACAAUGGAAGAAAGAAAGAAGAGUGAAAAUCACAUGAAGACUAUGGACGAGGGAAGAUCUUAAGGUGGUAGCAGUGAUAUAAGGUCAACUAUAAUGAAUAACUCAGUGGCAGAAUGAAGGAAGAAUUAUACCAACUCCCACCAGCAGGGAUGCUGCCCAGCAUUCUCAGGGACAUUCCCAGGGAUGUUCUCAGACUCCAACAUGUGACUACAUUUGGUUCCUUUUAGUGACUUGUUGACACAUGGACACAUAAAAAAGAAGGGACUUUUAAAAUAUUUACAUUGUUUUUAGUCUUCCUGAUUCACUCAGCAUGCUAUACCAACAAAGAAAGGACCUUAUGCUUCUGUUAUAUUCAGAAUGAAUGCUCCUUGGUAGAUAAUCUUCCCACAGCAAGAAGACUGAGAAGAAGCUUUUCACUGAUGGGCUGUAUAAGAUAGGUAGUUUUUCUUGCACAGGUAUGGUGUAUGUAUGUAAAUUGUUCGUGAUUAUAUAUGAAGCCAUAUUACAGUUACACAAGAGAAGCAAUUGUUCACACUGUACGUGUUCCUAUGAAGUGUGUGACACACACAAAAUCAAGCAUGACACAAGAAAAUUCAUCAAAGAAUAUUUAAAGAUACCUUAGGGAGCCAGUGAGUUUUCUGAUGGCUCUACAAAAGGAAGACUAAUUGCUUAUGCAUAAUGCAACUGUUUUAGAAGGUUUUAUUUCCAUCAGUGCUUUUACUUUUUUCUUUGGUAAAUAUUUAAUAUAGUCUACUUAGAGAAACUGAUAAUAAAAAUCAGGUAGUUAAAGAUUAAUCAAUCACAAAUAAUUGAAUGGUUUGAAUAUAUUCAGGUUUCUUCUUAGCUGUGCUUACUUGUUCAUACUGAUUUCCUGUUAUGGCAGUAAUGCAUAGGAGUUCUUAUCCCACCAGGAUGGCAACAGAAAUGGAUAAUAAUAGAAGAUUUUUCUGUAAAGAGUUUACACCCUUUUUAAAGACUUAAAAUUGAGAAUAAACUAAUUAUAUUAAAUAAUAGGUUAAAACUACUAAUAAUUCUUUUGGAAAACAUAGUCAAUUUUUUUUAUAUUAAACAGAUUUGGUUUUACUGGAACAUGAGAAUUUCCUGUGAAAUGGUAUAUACACCAUAUCCAGCUGAAUGUGUUCUCAGUGAGACCAGCAAAAUCAAUGGAGUUAAUUGAGUGAUAAAGCACAUAAAGUGGUGAGAUCAUGAGUUGAACACACCCAUGGAGAAUUAAGAGGUACAAGCUAUAGCUGAAUGACAGUUACCCCAGGUAAUUGAAAUAGCUCAUGUUAACAUGAAUUAUCUGUUUGUAAUUACAGAAAAGGCUAUUAAUGAUAACAGAACAAAUAUGUAAUUUUCUGUUUAGAGAUUACAUAUUUCCUGGUGUUCAUUUACUUUUAGGAAAGUCUGAAAACUUUCUAGAACUAUUGCUGUCCUGGAAAUUCUCUUACUUAGUUUUGGAAAAUGUGUAGAAAGAACUAAGUAAAUGCUUCUUUCCGUCACGACUUAGCCAAUUAUCUGUUAGAGGUAUGUGAGAGACAGGCUGCAGUCAGUAUUCUGAUAUGGUCAAAUUUGAAAGUGCUUGAUGCUUUCUUAUGUGGCUUUUUGACAGAUUGUACUAGAUGUAUGAAAGCCCGUAUGGAGUUUGCUGUAAUCGUGCUUUACUAUCUAUCAAAAAGAAUCUUUAGCUAAGGUGAUUUACUUUCUUGUUAAGCUCAAAACAAGUGAUCUUAUUACUGAUCUGUUUACACAUUGAGUUCAAGCUUCUUCUUACUUACAACACUGUGGAGCACUUAAAUUGAAAUUUUUUGUUAUCCAGGGUAGCUGAGAUUGACAGUGUUUCACUAGUAUAAGCAAGAGAAGAACGAGAUUAUUCUUUGCCAACUAUAUGACUAUGGAGCACCAUUCUAAUAUUUCUAACUCUCUUACCACUUCACUAUUGAAAUACUGACAGGAUUUGUAAUACUACUAGGCCUUGAUGCCAAGAGCAAUUCUUUUAAAGUGUGUGACACUAAAUAUAGAAUCUGGCAAAUGAUGCCUUCAGUUAGAAAGUAUUAAUGUGACAGAACCUUUUACAGAGAACGUCUUGACCAAAAAGUGACGAAAGAGGAAAUAGUGCUUGAACCUCUGUAACAUAGCACUGUGACUGAAAAAUCUCCACUGAAAAGGCCUUCGUGGUGCAAUAAUUGUUCUCACUUUCAUUUAUAGUACUGUAAAUUCCAGGGAAUCAUUGAAAUCAAUAGGAACUACAGCCAUAGAAGUUAGGUGUCAUAUGAAUAAAAAAGUUGUAAGAUGCUUUUAUUGGGUCACAAAGCUCCGCUCCAUAAUUUUGUUUUGGUUCUAACAUUUGUCAGCUCUGCUUGUCCAAACUAACUCUUAAAUCAGAAAUAUUUUCUACAGUUUGGCAGCAAUGGGCAUUCUGGAUUGGGUAUUCACAGAGCAACUUAUACAGCAUUUGUCAUAAUGGGUCCAUCUACUAUUCUACAGCUCCUCUCAUGGUUUAUGUCUCUAGUUUAUAUACCCAUAAAACAUCUAACUGACUAUGAAAUGACAGUGAGAAAAAGAAAGAAGUGUUCCCUCUUCAUCAUAUUUCUCUGACACAUGAGAUUUGAUCAUCUGUAUUAUCACAGCUACAAAUAGUAUUAGCGAACAUAAAUUAUCCAGCCCCAUUACAUAUAGACACAUUAUCUGUCUUUAUGCCAUUGAAAAUUCCAUGGACCAACUAUUUUCUGCAUAAGAUAUUUUCUUUUAUUCAUUCUAAAUGCACUGGCCCUUAAUUUCAUGAGGCAUUUCUUUCACUUGUGUGCAAUGCAAAAAAAGGAAGCACUGUUAGAACGUCAUUGCCCCCAUCAGUAUUCCCAGUAUUGAAUCGUUUUUCCUUUGCUGCUUCUUCUUUCCAAACAAAACCGUUUGAGGAUUAGAACCUCAGUGGUGUGAACUGGUAAAUGAUCCAAAGCAAUGUCAAUUUAUACCUUUUGAAUCUUUAUAGUCUUUGAAGUCUUUUAUAUAUAAAUGUUAUUGUACAUCUCACUACCUUUGUUUUAAUAUGUAAAUCUUACUGUACAUCUCACUACCUUUGUUGCCUUUAUAUGAGCUUUCAUGGAAGCCAGUCUAUAUUUCAGUUGUCUCAAUCAAAAUUUGGAACAACUGUUCUGGAAAAGAGAAACACAAUUCUGAAAAAGCAUCACUGUCAUAUCAUCAUGACAUCAUAGAAUAAGAGCUAAAAUAAAUGAGAACUUACAGACUUUUAGUUAUUACACUGAUUUCACUAGAAACUGCUUUAUUGUUUGGUUAAAGAAUACUCCAUGGAGGCACAAUGUUAUUUUUAUGGGGUUUGGUCCCUUUGGAAAUAAUUUGAUCUGAUAAUAAUUUAUGAUCUCUAAAAAUACAUCUGCAAUUGCGCUCCAGUUUUCUAUUGUAAUGCUGCAGAUUGAUGGAAUAACAUUAAUACUGAUGAAAUUGAUAAUGUUUUAUGUAAUUAUUGCUUCACUAAUCACUAUACUUUCCACUGCUAUCUGUGCACGAGAUCAUUAAUAUGGUAUAUGUGUAAACAUUAAGCUUAAUGGAGUUAAACGAUAGUACGGAAAGGCAGGAUGGCUAAUUAAUGAUCAACCAAACAAUUAGUACUCUUUCUUACUAAUUCGCAAGCUGUUCUAUGAGGCACUUCAGCUUUGCAGAACAGAAUUCAGUGCAUCGCUUAAUUAUAAAUAAGCUAAACAGUUGUAAAAUUACAGAUCACUUUUUUAACCUCCUGCUACUAUAGACUGUUUUUAAGCUUCUCAGGAAGAUUUUCUCUGGUCAAAAGAAAAUGUAAUUCAAAUAAUAGCUUUUCUACUACCUUUACUGGUUGCUUUUAAGUGAACAUUUGACUGAUGGGACCUAGUCAAGUUUUACAUUUAAGAGACACUUAAUGAAAAAGUAGAUCAGUCUUAAAUGGUCCUUAAUUGGUUUCUGUGAUAGGUCUGUAUUGGUACUUAGCACAGGAUUGAAUUUCACACUAAAGGCUUAUUUCUACUAACCCUUAACUCAUGCUGAGUAUCUUUUUCUCCCUUUUCUCACAGUCUCAUUGAUUUUGUACAGAGUAAUUUUCUUUCUCCAUUCUACAAUUCUGAAUCUUUUUUAUAAAACAACAAAAUAAUUUUUAUUGGCCAUUUAAAUCCUUGAACUGAGUAAAUUCAUUCUAUCUUUCUUUACUCUCCUUUGUAAUCUAUGUGGCAAGCCAUAAAAUGCAUCCAUAUGACUUAAAAAUAUUACAUUCACUGCUUUCAUUCUGUAUAUAAACUUUAAAAUAAUACCCUGCGCCCUCUCAAAUGAAAUUCCAAGAUUUCCCAGAACUGUGAAAUCAGUGCAAGAUCUCCAAAGGUUCUUCUAUUAAUUUCACUGUCUUCGGGCUAUAUCAACCCAUUUUGUUUGCACUGCAGUUUUAGUACGACAUCGUAUUAGUGUCUCUCGAUUUUUCAGGAUAGUUCUCUAGACUAUUCCAGUUACUACUGCCCUUAAUCUACUACAUACUACUGUAGUAUUUGGGGGAUAAUAAAAAUUUCAGCCAAAGUAUUAUUCUACAAAACCUAAAGUCAAGGCAUAUUGUUCAAGAUAUUUCAACAAAUACUCUCUUGCGGCAAAACUCAAAGACUUUUUAGUCUGUCUGGCCUGAUCUUUGCUAUAUCACAGGUCGGUAGAACUGCUCUUUUGAAUUUAACAAAUAGUUUCUGUAUGAAAUUUUUAUUUUUCUAGUGGUAAAGAACAGUAUUUCAGUUAAUAAAUUAUAAUUUAUAAUCCUAAGGGCAAGAACAACAUCUUCUCGAGCAUCUGUACCUUCAAGACAUAGACUGGAACUUUAAAGCAGAGAUAAACAAGGUAUAAUAUGUAGAAAAUCCAUGUUUAGAACCAUUUUUAAAAUUCUUCAUUGAAGAUCUUAUAGACCCCUAUGUGAUAUCACAUACUUGGUCUGAAGGGAGAUGCUAUAAUGCUAUAAUUGCUAUAAUGAUCCCCAGGACAGGCAUUUCCCAUGUGUUUGACAGUAUCAUCAAAAGAAGCCUGGCCAUUACUUCUUACGGCUUGACCUAAUGUGCCACAGUAGGUGUUUGACAUUACUGAACAAAUGGUCACAUCACAGGCAAGCCAGACUGAAGCAAAGUCAUCUCCUCUUGACCAGAAGUCAGGGAAGUUGCAAUGCAGAGACUGUGCAUCAGUGAAGGACACUUGAAAAGGCAGAAAGGAAACAGUGAAAACAAGGAAAGGAGAGCCUAAUAUGAGACAAAAAAUAGAAACUGCUACUGAAAUAUCAAGAAGUGCUCUGCUCUUACACACAUACUUGACAUAUAUUCUUUCUAAACCCAUUGAGAUAAGGGAGAAAUGUGUAUUUUAAACACUGUGUGGUUGUGAAAUGCUUGAGAUGGUUCAGUCCUGUCACAGCAAGGAAGACUAAUCAUGUCGCACAGAAUCUAAAACAACCAGUGUCCCAAACAACGAAUGCAUUGAAAGAGAAUUCCAUGGCAAAAGUGGCACUUUGCAAGGUGUCACUAACUGCCAUCUCCCCCAUUAUAACACAAGACGAUGUCUCUAACUGAAAUAUUUAUUUGGUGGUCCAUCCAUUCAACAACUGACUUGCAAAUUGCCUUGACUAAUCAAUACCAAGAACCUAAUGAAUUAAAUAUAAGACAUUUUUAUAAUUUUGGAGUUUCACAUAUGGUUAGCAUUUAAAUAUCCUAUUGUCCUAAUGAUCCUUUCAUUCAUUGUUUUUCAUUAACUGCAAGUGGCUCAAUACUUUUCAUUACCUAGAAAAAUCUAAUAUCAUUUUUAGAGCUUUGGAAAACAGUGCUGGCUCUCUAAAUAGACAAAGCAGGAAAUAAAACACUGAGAUGUCUGAUGGCCUAUAAGAGCUUACACAACUUCAUCAUCUAUUGGAUUUCAUUACUGUGGGUGAUACUGAGCAAUCCAGGGCAAGUCAUAUCUCUCUAACCCUGAAAAGUUUUGAUGGCAUUUCUCUGGGCUCUAGGCACUGCAGUCCUCAGGAGUCCCAGCAGAUUUGGCCAGAUAAUGACUACCAUGAUUAAAAUCAAAGCAUUUGAUUAUAGUAUUCAAAAUAAUUCCAUGAGAUAUAUUAGGCAUAACAUAUCAGGCAUAUAUUCAAGGCACCUGGAGAGAGCUUGCUUUUCCAGUGUCCCUAGGGCAUGACUCAACGGGCAUCCAAAAUACUAGUCAUUUUUAAAGUCUUGUCCAUAAUUUUUAAUAAUUUAUGGGAUAUUAUUCACUCUUUCGAAAUACCUCCUAUAUAUUAAGAGGCACAAGUAUAUUAAUGUAUUUUUUAAAAUGCACUUCACACAUACUUUCCACGGACUCCUUCUGCAGGUGUUCCUGCUGAAGAGGGUUGAACUGAAAGACUAAAAAUAGCAACAACAAAAUUUUGUUCCAUAGAAUGCCACAAAAAGAAAAUAAUGCAUAUGUAAUGUAGCAAGAACAAACAUGAGGAAUAGGAUAAGGAACAGUCAUCAUGUCAGAGACAGCUUUAGGAGAGUGCCUGGCUGCAUCUGGAAAUACAUCAAUAAAAUAUAAAUGAAUGGAUUAAAACCAAAAAUUAUGUUAUGUGCCAUUGAUUUUCAAGUCAGUGAUGGUAACACAGUGAUAACUAGAGUUUGAAAUGCUUUUCACUGUUUGGGUAAAGUUUAAGCAACUAUUUUAUGGUCAUUCUUCUACUACCUGGUUUGAACAAAUUUGAUUUCAGUGUGAACCUUGCCACUUGAAAUAUGCCAUAAAGAAAAAGUAGAGAAAGAGUUGAGGAAACAGAAAUGCAACGUUUUGGAGAAUUGUACCUACUUACUCCAGCAAAAUGAAUGUGUCAUGAUUAAAUAGUAAUGAUCACUUUGAACCAUUACUGUGUGUGUUCAUCUGCCAGCAGAGAUUUAAGCUGCUU